rnacentral:lncRNA from 1 species
CCAAACGGCGCAUUAAUGGUUAAUAAAACCCAAUUUUUUUUUUUUUACUUUUCAGAUUUGCUAGAACGAAAACUGAAAGAGUCUCUCCUUUUUUUUAAAACCCCUUUCUUUCAAACACCCAACUCUUGGGUUUCUUAACACCUGGAGCGCCACCGCCACAGCCACAAAGAUCGACGGCCGACGAUGAAGGAGAGACCCCCCGGCGGCACGGUCACGGCCAACUCCUGUGAGUUUCUCCUCCCCUUAUUUUUUGCUUUUGAUUUUAUAGUUAUUUAAAAUAGAUUUGCAAAAGAAGGAAAAAAGAAUAAAACAAACAAAUAAAUAAAAAGAAAAAAAAAUGAAGUGUAAAUAACAAGGAUUUAACCCUUUAAAAUUUCUAUUCUUUUUUAUUUCUGAUGUGGGUUCUUUUACAAAGAAAAUCCCCCCUCUAAAAUCCCCUCGAUUCUCCUCUCCCCUCCCCCCUUUUUAACCAGCAUAUUGAUAUGGCUUUUACAACAUAAUAAUAAUUUUUCACUAUUUGCUACAGUAACUCGUGCGUGGCCCCUGUUGCUUUUCCAUAAUUGCAGGUGGCAGUGGUAGACAGCUGGUAGUGGCGGGCCCAGGUGUGGCGGCUAGGGUUUUUGUUUCCUUUUUUGGCUGAGAAUUGUUUACGUGUUGGGCCAUUGGGCUUUUAGCUUUUUUUGGGGGGGGGUUUGGUUUGAUUGUUUGUUUUUUUUAUUUUAUUUGGUAGGUAUGGGCCCGGGCAAAAUGGGCUCGUACACCUUUACUUAUCAAAUAAUCUCAACUUCAGUUAUUUCAACUACA